rnacentral:piRNA from 1 species
UCUGUGUAAACGUACAUAAGG